UACGUAGGGUGCAAGCGUUGUCCGGAAUUAUUGGGCGUAAAGGGCUCGUAGGCGGCCUGUCGCGUCGGGAGUGAAAACUCAGGGCUUAACCCUGAGCCUGCUUCCGAUACGGGCAGACUAGAGGUAUGCAGGGGAGAAUGGAAUUCCUGGUGUAGCGGUGAAAUGCGCAGAUAUCAGGAGGAACACCGGUGGCGAAGGCGGUUCUCUGGGCAUUACCUGACGCUGAGGAGCGAAAGUGUGGGGAGCGAACAGG
rnacentral:rRNA from 1 species